AACGAACGCUGGCGGCAGGCUUAACACAUGCAAGUCGAACGCUCGUAGCAAUACGGGAGUGGCGGACGGGUGAGUAACGCGUGGGAACGUGCCCUGAGGUACGGAAUAACUGCGGGAAACUGCAGCUAAUACCGUAUGAGCCCCGUGAGGGGGAAAGGAUUUAUCGCCUUAGGAGCGGCCCGCGUCGGAUUAGCUAGUUGGUGGGGUAACGGGCUUACCAAGGCUUCGAUCCGUAGCUGGUCUGAGAGGACGAUCAGCCACACUGGGACUGAGACACGGCCCAGACUCCUACGGGAGGCAGCAGUGGGGAAUCUUGCGCAAUGGGGGCAACCCUGACGCAGCCAUGCCGCGUGAAUGAUGAAGGCCUUAGGGUUGUAAAGUUCUUUUGCCCGUGACGAUGAUGACGGUAACGGGAGAAUAAGCUCCGGCUAACUUCG
rnacentral:rRNA from 1 species